GCAGAUGUGGUGAAACUGGCAUACACACUAUCUUGAGGGGGUAGCGAGCAUAGCUCAUGCGGGUUCGAGUCCCGCCAUCUGCA
rnacentral:tRNA from 1 species